rnacentral:rRNA from 1 species
UACGUAGGGUGCAAGCGUUAAUCGGAAUUACUGGGCGUAAAGGGCGCGUAGGCGGUUCGUCAAGUCCUGUGUGAAAUCCCCCGGCUCAACUGGGGAACUGCACAGGAAACUAGCGGGCUUGAGUUCGGGAGAGGGAAGCGGAAUUCCGGGUGUAGCGGUGAAAUGCGUAGAUAUCCGGAGGAACACCGGUGGCGAAGGCGGCUUCCUGGACCGACACUGACGCUGAGGCGCGAAAGCUAGGGGAGCAAACGGG